UCGUGAGACAGUUCGGUCCCUAUCCGUCGCAGGCGUAGGAUAUUUGAGAGGAGCUAUCCUUAGUACGAGAGGACCGGGAUGGACGCACCACUGGUGUACCAGUUGUCUUGCCAAAGGCACAGCUGGGUAGCUAUGUGCGGAACGGAUAAGUGCUGAAGGCAUCUAAGCACGAAGCCAACCUCAAGAUAAGAUAUCCCAUUCGAAAGAAGUAAGACCCCAUUAAGAGUAAGUGGUAGAUAGGCAAGGAGUGUAAGUGCAGUAAUGUAUUAAGCUAACUUGUACUAAUAGGUCGAGGACUUAACCUA
rnacentral:ncRNA from 1 species